rnacentral:rRNA from 1 species
GACGAACCGUGCGAACGUUGUUCGGAAUCACUGGGCUUAAAGGGCGCGUAGGCGGGUCAGCAAGUCCGGGGUGAAAUCUUUCGGCUCAACCGGAAAAGUGCCUUGGAUACUGCUGGUCUGGAGUGAGGUAGGGGCCGCGGGAACUUCCGGUGGAGCGGUGAAAUGCGUUGAUAUCGGAAGGAACGCCGGUGGCGAAAGCGCGCGGCUGGCCCUCAACUGACGCUGAGGCGCGAAAGCCAGGGGAGCAAACGGG